AUUGAACGCUGGCGGCAGGCCUAACACAUGCAAGUCGAGCGAGCGGCGGACGGGUGAGUAAUGUCUGGGAAACUGCCUGAUGGAGGGGGAUAACUACUGGAAACGGUAGCUAAUACCGCAUACCAUCAGAUGUGCCCAGAUGGGAUUAGCCAGUAGGUGGGGGAAUGGCUCACACAGGCGACGAUCCCUAGAUGGUCUGAGAGGAAGACCAGCCACACUGGACAUGAGACACGGUCCAGACUCCUACGGGAGGCAGCAGUGGGGAAUAUUGCACAAUGGGCGCAAGCCUGAUGCAGCCAUGCCGCGUGUAUGAAGAAGGCCUUCGGGUUGUAAAGUACUUUCAGCGAGGAGGCGUUACUCGCAGAAGAAGCACCGGCUAACUCCGUGCCAGCCGCGGCGGUAAUAC
rnacentral:rRNA from 1 species